UAACCUAGCCUUGGAGUGGGGAAGUAACAGUUGGUAAACAAGCUGCUAAUACCGCAUGAUGCAGUUGAGUCGCAUGGCUCUGACUGCCAAAGAUUUAUCGCUCUGAGAUGGACUCGCGUCUGAUUAGCUAGUUGGCGGGGUAACGGCCCACCAAGGCGACGAUCAGUAGCCGGACUGAGAGGUUGGCCGGCCACAUUGGGACUGAGACACGGCCCAGACUCCUACGGGAGGCAGCAG
rnacentral:rRNA from 1 species